rnacentral:rRNA from 1 species
UGGGGAAUAUUGCACAAUGGGCGCAAGCCUGAUGCAGCCAUGCCGCGUGUGUGAAGAAGGCCUUCGGUUGUAAGCACUUUCAGCGAGGAGGAAGGUGGUGAGCUUAAUACGCUCAUCAAUUGACGUUACUCGCAGAAGAAGCACCGGCUAACUCCGUGCCAGCAGCCGCGGUAAUACGGAGGGUGCAAGCGUUAAUCGGAAUUACUGGGCGUAAAGCGCACGCAGGCGGUUUGUUAAGUCAGAUGUGAAAUCCCCGGGCUCAACCUGGGAACUGCAUUUGAAACUGGCAAGCUAGAGUCUCGUAGAGGGGGGUAGAAUUCCAGGUGUAGCGGUGAAAUGCGUAGAGAUCUGGAGGAAUACCGGUGGCGAAGGCGGCCCCCUGGACGAAGACUGACGCUCAGGUGCGAAAGCGUGGGGCAGCAAACAGGAUUAGAUACCCUGGUAGUCCACGCUGUAAACGAUGUCGAUUUUGGAGGUUGUGCCCUUGAGGCGUGGCUUCCGGAGCUAACGCGUUAAAUCGACCGCCUGGGGAGUACGGCCGCAAGGUUAAAACUCAAAGGAAUUGACGGGGUCUAGCUG